CUCAAGCUAGGGUUGGCUGAUGCCCACUCUCUACCCUCCCCUGUUCUAUGAGAGGGGGGAAGGUCUGUCCAGCUCAAAACUGCAGCUAGACCAUUCUAUCAUUCCUCUCCUGCCUCAUGAUCUAACCCAGAUAAUUGCUCUGGUCUGGAAGAAACCCUUGAACAACAAGGAUGAUCUCUCUAGUUUUGUAGCUCCCAGAGUUGUAGAACAGAUAUAAUCUCUCAUUCCCUGGACAAGUCAAGAGCUCUGGGGAAGGGACAACAGCUUUAUCAUCAUGUGACUGCAAAGAGAGGACAUGUUGGCAAGGUGUUGCCGCUGCCUCUGUCUAUUAUAACCCAGUCUCCUCGGCUUUCUCUCACUGCAACGUGGAUGGAUUGAGAAUGGAACUUGCAAGGUUUCUAUGGCAACAGUACAUGGAAAGGCCUGAGAGCAUUCCAUCUGGAAAGUAGAGAGGAGCCUUAUAAAGUACCAUCCCCAAAGGAAAAGCAAGUGAGGAUGCCCCUGUUGAGGCUACAAACCAGCUGACCACAACUACUCAAGGUUGAAGCACCUGAGACUUCCUUGAAGGGGACCACCGAUUUCAAUUAUCUGCCCACCUGGUGGCUGCAGCUUGACCCCGAUUAGUGGCUAUCAUCUGAUCCCCACUGGACAGACACCAGCAUCCAUAGCUUCCCUUGUUGACUUGGUUUAGAGCUGCUCUUCCACUGCAGGCCAAGAAGUGCCCGGGCUUUAAACUCAGUUCCUUUUUCAUCCCUCCAGCCCAUCAAAGUCAGAAGGAGUCUCUGCUGCCCAAUUUUCCUAAUGGGGUGGUUCAGAAAACUCCCAUCUUCUGGGGCUCCCCACCCACUGCCCCAAGGAGAUCAAGAUUAAUACCUCUUGGAGAGAUGUAUCCUGACUGCCCAACCCCUGGAGAUUAACUGGUCCCUACGUGGCCCAGAGCCUGUUUG